CCUACGGGAGGCAGCAGUGAGGAAUAUUGGUCAAUGGUCGCAAGGCUGAACCAGCCAAGUCGCGUGAAGGAUGACGGCCCUAUGGGUUGUAAACUUCUUUUGUCCGGGAGUAAAAUGCGCCACGUGUGGCGUUUUGUGAGUACCGCAUGAAUAAGGAUCGGCUAACUCCGUGCCAGCAGCCGCGGUAAUACGGAGGAUCCGAGCGUUAUCCGGAUUUAUUGGGUUUAAAGGGGGCGUAGGCCGGAUGUUAAGUGUGCCGUGAAAUGCCGGGGCCCAACCACGGCAGUGCGGUGGAAACUGGCGUGCUUGAGUGAGCGAGAAGUAUGCGGAAUGCGGGGUGUAGCGGUGAAAUGCAUAGAGAUCACGCAGAACUCCGAUUGCGAAGGCAGCAUACGGGAGCGCAACUGACGCUGAGGCACGAAAGCGUGGGGAUCGAACAGGAUUAGAUACCCUUGUAGUC
rnacentral:rRNA from 1 species